UACAGAGGCCUCAAGCGUUAGGCGGAAUCACUGGGCUUAAAGCGUGUGUAGGCGGAUCGUUAAGUGUCUUGUGAAAUCCCACGGCUCACCCGUGGAACUGCUUGGCAUACUGCGAGCCUUGAGCCACUUAGGGGCAACCGGAACAAACGGUGGAGCGGUGAAAUGCGUAGAUAUCGUUUGGAACGCCAAUGGUGAAAACAGGUUGCUGGGAGUGCGCUGACGCUGAGACACGAAAGCCAGGGGAACGAACGGG
rnacentral:rRNA from 1 species